AUUGAACGCUAGCGGGAUGCCUUACACAUGCAAGUCGAACGGCAGCACGGACUUCGGUCUGGUGGCGAGUGGCGAACGGGUGAGUAAAGUAUCGGAACGUGCCCAGUAGCGGGGGAUAACUACUCGAAAGAGUAGCUAAUACCGCAUACGCCCUACGGGGGAACGGGGGGGAUCGCAAGACCUCGCACUAUUGGAGCGGCAGAUAUCGGAUUAGCUAGUUGGUGGGGUAAAGGCCCACCCAGGCGACGAUCCGUAGCUGGUUUGAGAGGACGACCAGCCACACUGGGACUGAGACACGGCCCAGACUCCUACGGGAGGCAGCAGUGGGGAAUUUUGGACAAUGGGGGCAACCCUGAUCCAGCCAUCCCGCGUGUGCGAUGAAGGCCUUCGGGUUGUAAAGCACUUUUGGCAGGAAAGAAAUCGCAUGGGUUAAUACCCUGUGUGGAUGACGGUACCUGCAGAAUAAGCACCGGCUAACUACGUGCCAGCCGCCGCUGUAA
rnacentral:rRNA from 1 species